rnacentral:rRNA from 1 species
UACGUAGGGGGCAAGCGUUGUCCGGAAUUAUUGGGCGUAAAGCGCGCGCAGGCGGUUUCUUAAGUCUGGUGUCUAAGUGCGGGGCUCAACCCCGUGACGCACUGGAAACUGGGAGACUUGAGUGCAGAAGAGGAGAGCGGAAUUCCACGUGUAGCGGUGAAAUGCGUAGAGAUGUGGAGGAACACCAGUGGCGAAGGCGGCUCUCUGGACUGUAACUGACGCUGAGGCGCGAAAGCGUGGGGAGCAAACAGG